GAGAAAAGAGAGGAGUCGUGUUGCGGUGGGUUUCGAUACAAAAUUCAUUCCUUUAUCAAUGGCGACUCAGAUUCUACUCAGAGUUAAACUCGCUUUGAAGCUUCCAAAAUGCCCUUUCAUGGCCAUUCGCUCCAAAACAACUUCAUCUCAGUAUGUGGCGUCACGGGCCAGAGACCCCACCUUCGAGAAAUUCAUGAGCAACUACAAAAACUUUCUUAAGGUAGUCUCGGUUCAAGAUCUCAUCCUUGCUAACCCUAAAAACCCUACACUUCCCCUUGAUUUCCUCGACAGGCUUUCUCAGAAAUUCCACCUCAACCGUGGAGCACUUCAUUUCAUCCGUAAAUAUCCCCAUAUUUUCACGCUCUCCUAUGAUACCUUCAAGUCAAAACCAUUCUUCAAAUUAACUGAAGCUGCAUUUGAGAUUUCCCGCCAAGAAGCUGCUGCAAUUGAUGCUUCGAAGCCCGUUGUCAUUGACCGAUUAGUUCGACUUCUCUCAUUGUCUAUCUCAAAAUCUCUACCCCUUAGAGCAAUUUUCAAAGUCUGGAGGGAACUUGGCUUGCCCGAUGAUUUUGAGGAUUCGAUAAUCUCCCACAACCCUACUCUUUUCUCUCUCUGUGAUGCCCAUGAACCUAAAACUCAUAUCUUGAAAUUGGUGCCUGGAAACCUAAAUACUGGCUUUUCAGACGCAGUUGAGAACUGGAGGAAUUUUGAAUCUUGUAGGGAGGAUGCUAGGGUUGAUCCAUCAGAAAUUCGAUUUGCUUUUAAACAUGGGUUUCCACCAGGGAUGAGAUUGAGCAAGGAUUUUAAAGCUAAGCUUAAGGAAUGGCAGAGGUUGCCAUAUUUGGGACCUUACGAGGAGAUGGGAGUGAAGAGAAAGUCCAGAGCUGGUAUGAAGGAACUGGAGAAGCGGGCUGUUGCAGUUGUUCAUGAGUUCUUGAGUUUGACAGUGGGGAAAAUGGUGGAGGUGGAGAAGAUCAGCCAUUUUCGGAAAUGGUUUGGGAUUGAUUUGAAUGUUAGGGACCUGUUCUUGGAUCACCCUGGGAUUUUUUAUUUGUCAACCAAGGGGAAGAGACACACCGUUUUCCUGAGAGAGGCUUAUGAACAGGGGCGUUUGAUUGAUCCAAAUCCCGUUUAUGAUGUAAGGAGGAAGCUUUUUGAUCUUGUUAUUCUAGGACGCCGAGGUCUUCGUAUGGAUGACUCUCAGUAGUGUAAAAGAGCUUGAGUAGGAAAGAGAUUAAGUUUUGAAAGUUCUAGAUUCAGAUAUGUCCACAUGAGCAGGUGGAAUAAGAAAUUUUGGAUGCCAUUAGGAUGAAAUGUGUUGUUCGAAUGGUAUUUGGAACUCAUUUAAAAGACCAAGGUACUGAUCGAAAAGGCUUUUGCAGAUCCUAUAGGGAUUAAGGAUUCUGGAAAAGGGAAAGAAAAGGCUCUUUAGGGACCAUUUGGAGGAGUAUAA